rnacentral:lncRNA from 1 species
AUGGACGGUCAGACUCUGCGAAAGGCUGAGAGAAGCCGGUCCUGCUCUCGGGAGAAAAAGGAGGGUUACGCUAAGGACAUGGUGACAGACUUUGAUGAGAAGCACGAUGAGUAUUUAAUAUUGCUCCAGCAGAGGAACCGGAUAUUAAAGCAUCUGAAAACCAAGGACCCCGUGCAGUUAAGGCUGGAGCACCUGGAACAGGGGUUCUCGGUCUAUGUCAAUGGGGCCAACUCUGAACUGAAGGCGUCCCCUCGGAAAGCCAUCCACUCCGACUUUUCCAGAAGCGCCUCCCACACUGAGGGGACUCAUGAUUGUGGACGAAGAACGCUGUUUCGAGAAGCUGAAGAAGCUUUGAGACGCAGUGCACGGACAGCUCCCAGCAAAGUCCAGCGCCGAGGAUGGCAUCAGAAAUCUGUGCAGAUCAGAACGGAAGCUGGCCCGCGGCUCCACAUCCAGCCUCCUCCGGACUAUGUUGAAGACUCUGAGCCAAGUGGGGAUGUGACUGUCAAGGUGAAGGAUGCUUCUGGGGACCGUCCACAGGAUACCAAAUCUCCCACCAGCACCACGCCCUGUGAUUUUAAUUUCUCCCUUCCGAACGCAAAAGGACGCCCUGACCCUCCAAGCAGUACGGACAGAGAAAGGAUCCUCUUAACUAUUCAGGAUGUAAUGGAGCUAAGAAAAAGCCUGGAACUUAGUGUCAAUCUACAAAGGAAAGAAAAGGAUGGUUCCAGUGAUGAGUAUGACUCUAUCGAAGAAGAUGUACUCCCUGAGCCAGAGCCUGAGGAGCAGGUGCUGGUGGGCUGUCCCAGAGAUGACUCCCCUCUUUCCCGAAGGGACUCAGUGCAGAAAGAUGCUCCCGAGGACCCGGAGACAGAAGAACGCUCUCCCCAGGGCCCAGACACCCUCAUAGUGCUGGAAUUUAACCCGACUUCCAAAAGUAAUAAAAAGGAAAGGAAUUUGUCUGCUAAGCGGAAGGACAACGCUGAGGUCUUCAUUCCCAGCAAACCUGAGCCACACCUGAGUCCCCAGUCCCCGACCAUGUUCCCAGAUCAAGACAGGGCGUGCUCAAGACCUGGAAGCCGCCGAGAGAGACCCCUAUCUGCAACCCGGAAACUGGUGCGCGAGGCUGAGGACCGAGAGGAAGAUGCCUCAGCUGUGCUCAGAGCCAUCCAGGUGGAGAAUGAGGCCCUGCAGAGGGCGAUCCUCAGCAGAAAGGCUGAGCCCCCCGCCAGCCCACCGCAGGACACAGAGGGACCACGAGCAAAAUCAUGGACCAGUCUGCUCAAGGAGGAGACCCCUGAGCUACCUCCCAUCACCACAGCGACCAGCACGCAGGAGCCAGCCAGGGCAGCAGGGGGAGCCAGAGCCGUCAGUGAAGCCAUCGACAGAAUCGGCCUUUUGGGGAGCAGACAACAGCAGAAGCUUCUGAAAGUCCUCCAGGCCAUUGAAAGUGACUCCGCCCGUCUCAGCUGGGUUGUUUCACCCACGGAGGAGCAAGUGCUGGACCCAGAGGAUAAAUCGGGACCAAAAGCAGAAGAGAUCAAAGAUGCCAUCUAUGUGACCAUGGAAAUCCUGUCCAACUGGGGCAACACGUCAUGGGUGGGCCUCACGGAAGUUGAGUUCUUCGACCUGAACAACGCAAAGCUCUACGUGUCGCCCCAUGACGUGGAUAUCCGGAACGCAGACAUGCCGGGGGACCUGGGCCACUUGGUCAACAGGAACUUAGCUGGCAAGAAAGACCCUUCCCUGUGGACGUGCCCCUUCCACCCACCGCUCCAGCUCUUUUUUGUUAUCCGCAACACGGGACAGCUGCGUGACUUUGGUCUAACCAAGAUCAAGGUUUGGAAUUACUGGACAGCUGAUGGUGACUUUGACAUCGGGGCUAAGAACGUGAAGCUUUAUGUCAACAAAAAACUCAUCUUUGACGGCAAGUUAGACAAAGGAGGUGGCGAGGCCCCGCAGAGCAUCCUGGUGGGGCUGCAGGAUGAGAGGAUGGAAAAGAGCGAUGCUGCCCUCUCCAAAGAAAGCGGAGGUGUCCGCAAGACGCCUGGAACCGAGGGGCAUGAGGAGCUCCACGCCAGUCACUCGCAGCCAGCUGGAGCAGGAGAGGAUGUGAAGGUUUCUUCACAAGGAAAUUCAUUUGUUGGAAGGAUGAAUUCUCCCAAAGGCGUGAAAGACAGUUUGUCCCAGUUAGAGGAGGAGCUCAGCAUUUUAGCUGCCCCAUCCUCGACGGGUGGCGAGCCCAGUGGUCCUCCCCACUCCUCCCCUGUGGAGUGCCCUCCUCCUCCUGACCAGGAGCUCUCACUGCUCCAACAGCUGGAAAACCUUACGGGCAGAAAAGUCUCUGAGCCACCAGGGAAAACCCCAUCCUGGUUACAACCUUCUCCCGUGGGGAAAGGCAGGAAGCCGGGAGGCCCGAAGUUGAAACCCCUCUGGCUGAGUCCAGAGAAGCCACUGGACUGGAGAGAAGAGCUUCCAUCAGACGAUGUCAUUGGCAAGGGGCCUGGAGGGUCCGAGGCCAGGGAUAAAGGCCCCCGACGUGAGCAAGGGCGGGUGAACAGCUGGAAUGUCAUCGCCGCUGAGAGAGCUCAGAGAACAACCCCCACAGUCCACGGUGAUGACUUUGACAUCUUUAACCAGCCCCCCAACAGGGAGCAGCCUGCCAGCGGGAGGAGGGGCCUGAGGAGGGAUGCCCUCAGCCUCAGUCAUGGUGACGGCCAGCCAGCCAGCAGAGAAGACACCUGGUCCACCCGGAUGCCGCCACGGCCCCGGUGGCACAGCGAGCAGGAUCACACCUUGCACGAAUCGUGGGACUCCCUCACGGCCUUCGACCGCUCCCACCGGGGACGCAUCUCCAACAUGGAAUUCCAGGGCGACAUCCUGGACGAGUUCCUGCAGCAGCAGAAAAGCAGCCGGCAGAGCGACCAGCCACCCCCCUGGAAGGAGGGGAAGCCGGAGCCCGUGAAAGGGCAGGACCACGGCUCCCCUGAGACAGACGACGGGGGUGACUUCAAAAUCCCCGUCCUGCCCUAUGGACAGCACCUGGUCAUCGACAUCAAGUCCACGUGGGGGGACAGGCACUAUGUUGGCCUCAACGGGAUAGAAAUAUUCAGUUCCAAGGGGGAACCAGUGAGAAUCGAGAACAUUCAGGCCGACCCCCCGGACAUCAAUAUCUUACCGGCCUACGGGAGAGACCCCCGCGUGGUCAGCAACCUCAUCGAUGGGGUAAACAGGACACAGGACGACAUGCACGUCUGGCUGGCCCCCUUCACGCCGGGCAAGUCCCACUCCAUCUCCAUGGACUUCGUGCAGCCUUGCCAGGUGGCCCUGAUCAGGAUCUGGAAUUACAAUAAAUCACGGAUCCAUUCUUUCCGGGGCGUGAAGGACAUCACGAUGCUAUUAGACGCGCAAUGCAUCUUUAAGGGAGAAAUCGCCAAGGCCUCUGGAACCCUAACGGGAGCUCCAGAGCACUUUGGCGACACGAUCUUAUUCACGACCGACGAUGAUAUUCUUGAGGCCAUAUUCUGCUCCGACGAGACGUGUGAUCUGGACGUGGAGAGCCUGUGCAGCCUGCAGAGCGAGGAGGCCCUGCAGAGGCCCAGCACGGCCGACGGCCAGGGGGAGGAGAGGCCGCGCACCCAGGCCGGCUCGUGGGCCGAUGACCGGGGCCUGGAGCCAGAGCUGCCCCCCAGUCCCCCUGUCCCUGAUGUCACCACGCCAGAGCCGGGCGUCUACCACGGCAUCUGCCUGCAACUGAAUUUCACCGCCUCCUGGGGUGACCUGCACUACCUGGGGCUCACCGGCCUGGAGGUGGUGGGCCAGGAUGGCCAGGCACUGCCCAUCAACCCGCACCAGAUCUCUGCCUCCCCCAGAGACUUAAAUGACCUCCCUGAGUACACGGACGACUCCCGGACCCUGGACAAGUUAAUUGAUGGAGCCAACAUCACGAUGGAGGAUGAGCAUAUGUGGCUGAUCCCCUUCUCGCCGGGGCUGGACCACGUGGUCACGAUCCGCUUCGACAGAGCCGAAAGCAUCGCAGGCCUUCGCUUCUGGAACUACAAUAAAUCUCCCGAGGACACCUAUCGAGGGGCCAAGAUCGUCCACGUCUCCCUGGAUGGCCUGUGCAUCUCCCCUCCCGAGGGCUUCCUCAUCCGGAAGGGCCCGGGCAACUGCCACUUUGACUUUGCUCAAGAAAUCCUCUUUGUGGACUACCUGCAGGCCCGACCGUUGCCCCCACCGGCCCAGAGGCUGGACACGAAGAGCCUGGAGCGGGCGAGCAUGGACUACGAGGCGCCCCCGAUGCCCUGCGGCUUCAUUUUCCAGUUUCAGCUCCUGACCAGCUGGGGUGACCCCUAUUACAUCGGUCUUACCGGCCUGGAGCUAUAUGAUGAAAGGGGAGAAAAAAUCCCUCUGUCAGAGAACAAUAUCGCCGCCUUCCCCGACAGCGUCAACUCCCUGGAGGGCGUGUGUGGGGACGUCCGGACCCCUGACAAGCUCAUCGACCAAGUGAACAACACCAGCGAUGGCAGACACAUGUGGCUGGCCCCCAUCCUGCCUGGCCUGGUGAACCGGGUUUAUGUGAUUUUCGAUCUGCCCACUACGGUGUCAAUGAUCAAACUGUGGAAUUACGCAAAAACACCGCAUCGAGGUGUGAAGGAGUUUGGCCUCCUGGUGGAUGACUUGCUCGUGUACAACGGGAUCCUGGCCAUGGUAGGCCACCUGGUCGGGGGCAUCUUGCCCACGUGCGAGCCCACGGUGCCCUACCACACCAUCCUCUUCACCGAGGACGCGGACAUCUGUCACCAGGAGAAGCACACCGCCAUCAGCAAUCAGGUAGAGGACCAGGACGUGCAGAUGAUGAAUGAAAACCAAAUCAUUACCACCUCGAAGAGGAAGCAGAAUGCAGUUGAUCCAGCCUUACGCCCCAAAACCUGCAUCAGUGAGAAGGAGACAGCGAGACCGUGGCGGUGCUGA